rnacentral:rRNA from 1 species
CCCUACGGGGGGCAGCAGUGGGGAAUUUUGGACAAUGGGCGCAAGCCUGAUCCAGCCAUGCCGCGUGAGUGAAGAAGGCCUUCGGGUUGUAAAGCUCUUUCGGCGGGGACGAAAUGGUCCGUGCUAAUACCAUGGACUGAUGACGGUACCCGAAGAAGAAGCACCGGCUAACUACGUGCCAGCAGCCGCGGUAAUACGUAGGGUGCAGGCGUUAAUCGGAAUUACUGGGCGUAAAGCGUGCGCAGGCGGUUUGCUAAGACAGGUGUGAAAUCCCCGGGCUUAACCUGGGAACUGCGCUUGUAACUGGCAAGCUAGAGUGUGGCAGAGGGGGGUGGAAUUCCAAGUGUAGCAGUGAAAUGCGUAGAUAUUUGGAGGAACACCGAUGGCGAAGGCAGCCCCCUGGGCUAACACUGACGCUCAUGCACGAAAGCGUGGGGAGCAAACAGGAUUAGAUACCCUGGUAU